GACGAACGCUGGCGGCGUGCUUAACACAUGCAAGUCGAACGAUGAAACCUAGCUUGCUGGGUCGAUUAGUGGCGAACGGGUGAGUAACACGUGACUAACCUGCCCCUUUCUCUGGGAUAACGCUCCGAAAGGAGUGCUAAUACCGGAUACUCACACCGAGGCACAUGCCUUGGUGUGGAACGUUUUUCGGAAAGGGAUGGAGUCGCGGCCUAUCAGCUUGUUGGUGAGGUAACGGCUCACCAAGGCGACGACGGGUAGCCGGCCUGAGAGGGCGACCGGCCACACUGGGACUGAGACACGGCCCAGACUCCUACGGGAGGCAGCAGUGGGGAAUAUUGCACAAUGGGCGCAAGCCUGAUGCAGCGACGCCGCGUGAGGGAUGAAGGUCUUCGGAUUGUAAACCUCUUUCAGUAGGGACGAAGCGAAAGUGACGGUACCUAAAGAAGAAGCACCGGCUAACUACGUGCCAGCCGCCGCCGUAA
rnacentral:rRNA from 1 species